rnacentral:rRNA from 1 species
CAUGCAAGUCGAACGGCAGCACAGGGAGCUUGCUCUCGGGUGGCGAGUGGCGCACGGGUGAGUAAUACAUCGGAACGUGUCCUGUUGUGGGGGAUAACUGCUCGAAAGGGUGGCUAAUACCGCAUGAGACCUGAGGGUGAAAGCGGGGGAUCGCAAGACCUCGCGCAAUUGGAGCGGCCGAUGCCCGAUUAGCUAGUUGGUGAGGUAAAGGCUCACCAAGGCGACGAUCGGUAGCUGGUCUGAGAGGACGACCAGCCACACUGGGACUGAGACACGGCCCAGACUCCUACGGGAGGCAGCAGUGGGGAAUUUUGGACAAUGGGGGCAACCCUGAUCCAGCCAUGCCGCGUGCAGGAUGAAGGCCUUCGGGUUGUAAACUGCUUUUGUCAGGGACGAAAAGGACCGUGUUAAUACCAUGGUCUGCUGACGGUACCUGAAGAAUAAGCACCGGCUAACUACGUGCCAGCAGCCGCGGUAAUACGUAGGGUGCAAGCGUUAAUCGGAAUUACUGGGCGUAAAGCGUGCGCAGGCGGUUCUGUAAGACAGAUGUGGAAUCCCCGGGCUCAACCUGGGAAUUGCAUUUGUGACUGCAGGACUAGAGUUCAUCAGAGGGGG